rnacentral:rRNA from 1 species
UACGAAGGGGGCUAGCGUUGUUCGGAAUUACUGGGCGUAAAGGGCGCGCAGGCGGCCCUCUAAGUCAGGCGUGAAAGCCCCGGGCUCAACCCGGGAACAGCGCUUGAGACUGGGGGGCUUGAGUUCGGGAGAGGAGAGUGGAAUUCCCAGUGUAGAGGUGAAAUUCGUAGAUAUUGGGAAGAACACCGGUGGCGAAGGCGGCUCUCUGGACCGACACUGACGCUGAGGCGCGAAAGCGUGGGGAGCAAACAGG